rnacentral:lncRNA from 1 species
AUCUAUCUGCUUGCACAGUUCAAGCGGCAGCACUCGCAAUGGCUAACCACCGCGCCGCUGCCGCCCUCCUCCUAAUUGCGUCCCUCUUCAUGGCGGUCACCAUCUCCAGGGCCGACGCCAGGUCCACUGUGCGUCCCAAUAAGACAGUUGCCCUCCACCAUGACAUUAAUGCGCAAGGUAUGCAGCUACAUACACUCUGACCUGUCGUCCAAGCAAUCAUCCGCAUGAAAUGCAUCUGCGCCGUGAAUCGUUGUUUGACCAUAUGAGGAGUGUGCACGUUGAAUGAAUGAAAUGUCACAGGUUACAUGGUGGAUGCUACGGCACCGACGGUGCUGGAUCCAGAGUGCGAAGGUGAGGGGAAGCAUCACAAGGGGCAUGAUCGUUCGAGGGAGUCAGAAUCGCCAAAGCCAGAGCCGUAGGUGGAGUCGCCAAAGACAGGUCUGCCUUGAAGCCACGUGCGCUUUGAGUGCCUGCAUGCCUGGCUUAAUAAUGUGCCCUUCUCCCCUGGUCCCUGCGUCGCGACAAUGAGUCAUGCUAUAUAUGGCUUUCAAUAAGGAGGCGUGUCCUAUGGUCGUUUCGUUUUCUUGGUUAUGCUCCCCUCCAUGUAUGAGCGAAUAAGUUGCUAAUUAGCUAUGAUCCCUAGACUGUGUGUCACACUUUUUCCAGUGUAGUGAUGCGUGUAUUUUCAAGGAAAAUUUGAUUUCGUCAGUUUGCUCUCAUGUAGUCAUGUGUUUGAUAUGCAUGUCAUGUGCAUCCGUGUGAUCUUCAUUUUGUCCAUCGUGUUGCCGGUGAGCGAUGCUUUGGACUCUGCUAAUUCAACCUCCACUGGACUAAAACGUAUGUCUCCAAGCGGUCACACAUUUUGAUGGUUGUACAAAUUUAGAUCCCUAAUUAAUAACCACCAAAAAUACGCUUUACGAUGCUAUAGGUAAACACUAGUAGUAGUGAACCAUACAUUAUCCAAAUAUUAUGUAUAUCUAAAUACAUAGCACAAAGUAAUGUGUUAUAAUUUCAAAUGGCAGAGUAUGAUGCUGUCACUCUUAAGAGAUUGCAUGUAUGGAUGUUCAAAUUUAUUAUAGAAACCGGCAUUUAUAGUUCUAUUUUUUGUUGAUAUAGCAAAAAUAAAUACAAGAAGAUAGCCCUAGGAGGCUAGGCUACCUACAUAAAAACGAAAAUAAACAAAAGCAACAAUGCCACACACUAUAGAGCCGGUGGACAAGCAACAGACAGAACACACAGAACACGGUCAUCGCAAACUCCACAGCAACUCAACAACAACAACAUCGGCUACUGCAAUGACCCACGAGCCACCAAUAUUCCAAGAUGAUGAGUCAUCUACUAGUGGACCUUGUAGCCAGCUGACCUAGCUUCCUUGGUGUUAGAAGCCGUCUAUGACAUGGUAAACUGGUGGCUCCGUCAAAGGCUGAAGCUAAGCAAAGGAAUCAGAAGAGGUUACACUCUUGUGCUGCUAGUUGUUGGCCUUCUUUGCAUGUAAUGGCGAAGCCUCCUUAGGGCCAUACGGGGUCCUGGCCCCCUUUCAUCGCCAAGAAACUUUGAUGCAUGGAUGACAAUGCAUGUGCAUGCAAUGAUGAAUAUGUGUUCUUGCUUUUGCCUUGUUUUCUCCAACACAUGAUGCGGCAAGCAUCAAGUCCAAUCCUAUUACUACUAGUCUACUAUCUAGCCCAUGUCUCAUGCCUCGCUUGUGAUGAAGGUUUGUUGCAAGACCAAUCUUUGACAGCGCUACAAAAGAUCAGAUCAUGUCGGGCUGCAAUAAUAUUCUUGUGAAGUUGAACAUUUAUCAUCAUCCUCGCUCAAACUUGAGCAUGUCCCUCUGGUCAGCGUGAUAUAUGAUAGGAUCAACCUACCAGAGCCAGCAUUCAAGAUAAGAUUAAUCCUCAUUAGAUCUAGUCUUUAGAAAUAAAGAGGUAGAGAGAGGGAAGAGUUGGGAAGAGGUACCAGCCAAUCGAUGCUCUAAGGCUUGUACCUUAGCGGAAGUCAAUCUACGUCUAAGAUUUAUCUUGUAGUGAACUUCUUAUUUUAGUAAGCAACAUUGUUUAUAUUGUUCUCCUGGUUUGCGAGUCUUCUAUUAGUACUUUAAUCUACACAUGGCGUUAAUACUAAUCGAAUUAAUUCCUGUAUGUAUAGACACUACGACCCAAGUGAUCAAAGGGAUUGCUAUAUUAAUGAUAGCUUCUAGGAUUUAAUAGCACUAUUUUUUUGUGGUAGGUGAUGCGUGCAUGGACAGCGAGACGUCAAUGGUGACUUUGUCAAUCUCAGGAUUUGUCGAUCUAACUCAGUUCUUCAAAGCUGCUCAUAGGGGUACGGUGUGUAUGCAAUCAUAGGGGUGAGCGUGCGCUCGUAUUUUGAGUGUUUGUGUCUCUAACUGCGUAUCGCAAAACAAGAGCCAUUUGAAAAAUGAAUUUGAGUCCCAUACACAAUUUAUAGUACCUAACAAAUUUAUUUAAUACAAAUUUGUCUUUAUGUCCUCGUCCCUAAGACAAUUUAUGGCUACAAUUUUACAUGCUUUAUACUAAAUUUUAGAACGAAAGAAGUAAAGCAUAACUUAUACCUUAUUUGUUAACCUAACUUAUUUCAAAUUAUUUAUAGGUGUGGUUUUUUAGGAAAACACAAUAUUAGACCUCAUCUCAGGCUGUACUUUUCUUGUUGUAGCCUUGCUACACGCUGUUGUGUGUUAAUAUGUGCAGCAGCCAGAGCUGCAACCAACCAGGCCGCACCAAAUAAGAUCCUCCAAAGUAGUUUAUGGAUCUGUCAUAAGCUGGAUACCUAGUUUGAUUAUGGAUUUGUCAUAAGCUGGGAACGUAGCGAGCUAAAUAUGGAUUAGUCAUAAGUUGAGUGCCUUGCUUGUUUAUGGAUUUGUUAAGGUUUUAAUAUUGCUAGCAAGCUAUAGAUGAUUCGGGUUAUUUGGCAACCCAUUCAUCAUUGGGCUUAUAACCCAAGUCCAGGGGUAAACAAACAAGGAGCGAGAAGCUGUCUUCCAGAUCUUUUAAUUAAAUAUUUUUGUAUUCCAGGUAACUCCACAUUUUCUCACGAGGCAACACUCACAAACCUCGCUAACUCCUCUUAAUGCAUCCAUAGGUACAUAGGGCAAAUAAGAAGGUAACUAAUUAAGAUCGUUGCUCAGCCAAAACCAUACUCCAAAUGAGCUCCAUUGGAAUCAUAAGCACCCCUCAGAUUCACUUGGUCUCGUGCCAGCCAAAUUGCAAUGGAGACGCCGGCUAAAAGAUGUGCUGCGACGACAUGUCCAUAGCAGCGUCAUCGAUUCACUCGUCCGUUGCUCGUCCUUGCAACGACAUGUCAGGUUGUAUGUCUCUGCACUUGUAGCUUCUUCUAUUGAUUCGUCGUGUAUUACUACAUACAUCUUAUCAGCUACCCCAUUCGUCGGGCUAUAAGAAGGCGUGAAGCAUGCUCUUUGCCACACCAAUCCAUCCAAACAAUAAAGAAAAUAUAGCUUGAGCUCAAUUUUUCUACACAAAAUCUAUCUGCUUGCACAGUUCAAGCGGCAGCACUCGCAAUGGCUAACCACCGCGCCGCUGCCGCCCUCCUCCUAAUUGCGUCCCUCUUCAUGGCGGUCACCAUCUCCAGGGCCGACGCCAGGUCCACCGUGCGUCCCAAUAAGACAGUUGGCCUCCACCAUGACAUUAAUGCGCAAGGUAUGCAGCUACAUACACUCUGACCUGUCGUCCAAGCAAUCAUCCGCAUGAAAUGCAUCUGUGCCGUGAAUCGUUGUUUGACCAUAUGAUGAGUGUGCACGCCGAAUGAAUGAAAUGUCACAGGUUACAUGGUGGAUGCUACGGCACCGACGGUGCUGGAUCCAGAGUGCGAAGGUGAGGGGAAGCAUCACAAGGGGCAUGAUCGUUCGAGGGAGUCAGAAUCGCCAAAGCCAGAGCCGUAGGUGGAGUCGCCAAAGACAGGUCUGCCUUGAAGCCACGUGCGCUUUGAGUGCCUGCAUGCCUGGCUUAAUAAUGUGCCCUUCUCCCCUGGUCCCUACCUCGCGACAAUGAGUCAUGCUAUAUAUGGCUUUCAAUAAGGAGGCGUGUCCUAUGGUCGUUUCGUUUUCUUGGUUAUGCUCCCCUCCAUGUAUGAGCGAAUAAGUUGCUAAUUAGCUAUGAUCCCUAGAUUGUGUGUCACACUUUUUCCAGUGUAGUGAUGCGUGUAUUUUCAAGGAAAAUUUGAUUUCGUCAGUUUGCUCUCAUGUAGUCAUGUGUUUGAUAUGCAUG